GAUGAACGCUGGCGGCGUGCUUAACACAUGCAAGUCGAACGAAGACAUCUGAGUGCUUGCACUUGGAUGGACUGAGUGGCGGACGGGUGAGUAACGCGUGGGUAACCUGCCUUAUACAGGGGGAUAACAGUUGGAAACGACUGCUAAUACCGCAUAAGCGCACGGUAUCGCAUGAUACAGUGUGAAAAACUCCGGUGGUAUAAGAUGGACCCGCGUCUGAUUAGCUUGUUGGUGAGGUAACGGCCCACCAAGGCGACGAUCAGUAGCCGGCCUGAGAGGGUGAACGGCCACAUUGGGACUGAGACACGGCCCAAACUCCUACGGGAGGCAGCAGUGGGGAAUAUUGCACAAUGGGGGAAACCCUGAUGCAGCGACGCCGCGUGAGUGAUGAAGUAUUUCGGUAUGUAAAACUCUAUCAGCAGGGAAGAUAAUGACGGUACCUGACUAAGAAGCACCGGCUAAAUACGUGCCAGCAGCCGCGGUAA
rnacentral:rRNA from 1 species